rnacentral:rRNA from 1 species
CCUACGGGGGGCUGCAGUGGGGAAUAUUGGACAAUGGGGGCAACCCUGAUCCAGCCAUGCCGCGUGUGUGAAGAAGGCCCUCGGGUUGUAAAGCACUUUCAGUGAGGAAGAACGCCUGGUGGUUAAUACCCAUCAGGAAAGACAUCACUCACAGAAGAAGCACCGGCUAACUCCGUGCCAGCAGCCGCGGUAAUACGGAGGGUGCGAGCGUUAAUCGGAAUUACUGGGCGUAAAGCGCGCGUAGGUGGCUUGAUAAGCCGGUUGUGAAAGCCCCGGGCUCAACCUGGGAACGGCAUCCGGAACUGUCAAGCUAGAGUGCAGGAGAGGAAGGUAGAAUUCCCGGUGUAGCGGUGAAAUGCGUAGAGAUCGGGAGGAAUACCAGUGGCGAAGGCGGCCUUCUGGACUGACACUGACACUGAGGUGCGAAAGCGUGGGUAGCAAACAGGAUGAGAUACCCUGGUAGUC